rnacentral:rRNA from 1 species
GAUGAACGCUGGCGGCGUGCCUAAUACAUGCGAGUCGAGCGAACAGACGAGGAGCUUGCUCCUCUGACGUUAGCGGCGGACGGGUGAGUAACACGUGGAUAACCUACCUAAAAGACUGGGAUAACUUCGGGAAACCGGAGCUAAUACCGGAUAAUAUAUUGAACCGCAUGGUGCAAUAGUGAAAGACGGUUUUGCUGUCACUUAUAGAUGGAUCCGCGCCGCAUUAGCUAGUUGGUAAGGUAACGGCUUACCAAGGCAACGAUGCGUAGCCGACCUGAGAGGGUGAUCGGCCACACUGGAACUGAGACACGGUCCAGACUCCUACGGGAGGCAGCAGUAGGGAAUCUUCCGCAAUGGGCGAAAGCCUGACGGAGCAACGCCGCGUGAGUGAUGAAGGUCUUCGGAUCGUAAAACUCUGUUAUUAGGGAAGAACAAAUGUGUAAGUAACUAUGCACGUCUUGACGGUACCUAAUCAGAAAGCCACGGCUAACUACGUG